rnacentral:rRNA from 1 species
AUUGAACGCUGGCGGCAUGCCUUACACAUGCAAGUCGAACGGCAGCGGGGGAGAAGCUUGCUUUUCCUGCCGGCGAGUGGCGAACGGGUGAGUAAUACGUCGGAACGUGCCCUGUAGUGGGGGAUAACUAGUCGAAAGAUUAGCUAAUACCGCAUACGACCUGAGGGUGAAAGUGGGGGACCGCAAGGCCUCAUGCUAUAGGAGCGGCCGAUGUCUGAUUAGCUAGUUGGUGGGGUAAAGGCCUACCAAGGCGACGAUCAGUAGCUGGGCUGAGAGGACGAUCAGCCACACUGGGACUGAGACACGGCCCAGACUCCUACGGGAGGCAGCAGUGGGGAAUUUUGGACAAUGGGCGAAAGCCUGAUCCAGCAAUGCCGCGUGUGUGAAGAAGGCCUUCGGGUUGUAAAGCACUUUUGUCCGGAAAGAAAUGGCUCUGGUUAAUACCUGGGGUCGAUGACGGUACCGGAAGAAUAAGGACCGGCUAACUACGUGCCAGCCGCCGCCGUAA